AAUCAACGCUGGCGGCGUGCCUCAGACAUGCAAGUCGAACGCGAAAGUCCCCUUCGGGGGACAAGUAGAGUGGCGCACGGGUGAGUAACACGUAGGUAAUCUACCUUCGGGUGGGGAAUAACAACCGGAAACGGUUGCUAAUACCGCAUAAUGCAGCGGCACCUAAUGGUGACAGUUGUUAAAGCGGGGGAUCGCAAGACCUCGCGCCUGAAGAGGAGCCUGCGGCGGAUUAGCUAGUUGGCAGGGUAACGGCCUACCAAGGCAACGAUCCGUAGCCGGCCUGAGAGGGCGGUCGGCCACACUGACACUGACAUACGGGUCAGACUCCUACGGGAGGCAGCAGUCGGGAAUUUUGGGCAAUGGGCGAAAGCCUGACCCAGCAACGCCGCGUGAAGGAUGAAAUCCCUCGGGAUGUAAACUUCGCAAGAACGGGGAGAAUAAGCCGGUGUGAAUACCACCGGCGAUGACGGUACCGUUGUAAGCUCCGGCUAACUCCGUGCCAGCAGCCGCGGUAAUACGGGA
rnacentral:rRNA from 1 species